rnacentral:rRNA from 1 species
UACGAAGGGUGCAAACGUUGCUCGGAAUUAUUGGGCGUAAAGCGCGCGUAGGCGGCUUGGCAAGUCGGAUGUGAAAUCCCUCGGCUCAACCAAGGAAGUGCAUCCGAAACUGCUGAGCUUGAGUACUGAAGAGGAUCGCGGAAUUCCCGGUGUAGAGGUGAAAUUCGUAGAUAUUCGGAGGAACACCAGUGGCGAAGGCGGCUCACUGGUCCAUUACUGACGCUGAGGUGCGAAAGCGUGGGGAGCAAACAGG